rnacentral:rRNA from 1 species
AUUGAACGCUGGCGGCAGGCCUAACACAUGCAAGUCGAGCGGAUGAAGGGAGCUUGCUCCUGGAUUCAGCGGCGGACGGGUGAGUAAUGCCUAGGAAUCUGCCUGGUAGUGGGGGAUAACGUCCGGAAACGGGCGCUAAUACCGCAUACGUCCUGAGGGAGAAAGUGGGGGAUCUUCGGACCUCACGCUAUCAGAUGAGCCUAGGUCGGAUUAGCUAGGUGGUGGGGUAAAGGCCUACCAAGGCGACGAUCCGUAACUGGUCUGAGAGGAUGAUCAGUCACACUGGAACUGAGACACGGACCAUACUCCUACGGGAGGCAGCAGUGGGGAAUAUUGGACAAUGGGCGAAAGCCUGAUCCAGCCAUGCCGCGUGUGUGAAGAAGGUCUUCGGAUUGUAAAGCACUUUAAGGUGGGAGGAAGGGCAGUAAGUUAAUACCUUGCUGUUUUGACGUUACCAACAGAAUAAGCACCGGCUAACUUCGUG